AAAAAAGAAAAUGCUGUUGAGGAACAGGGGAGUUUCUGUGAUGAGAAUGAUACACAAAGAGCAUUUGAGUGUAAUGAAGUUGAGAGUAGUAUUUUAACCAAAAGAACAUCUGCCUUAACAACAGUGAAGGUUUUAGCGAGCAGGUGUUAUUUGAUGAUGUUGAAAGAAAUCCAGGACCUACAAUGGUUUAUCAAGACUAAUCUUAGUGCUUGCCAUACAAGUGUCAAAGAG